UAGAAGUACUUAUACAAAUGAAAUAUUUAUAAAAGUUUUUUCUUUUCCUGAUGUGUGUACAUUAUUUUGGCUGACUCUGAACUUAAUGAGAACAAAACUGUCAUUUAAUUGUUGCUCUGAAAGCUUCUUUAGUGAAAACCAGCUGGUGUUCUGCUUUGAAACAAACUGCUGUUGAGGUCUGUGUUUUUAGGUUUAACCCCACAGUUUCUGAAUGAACUGAUAGUUUGUUUUUUUUCCUGAUCAAUGUGGAUGUUAUAAUUGAUGGUAACAUUUACUGAUCAUAUAAUCAGCAUGACAAUAUAACAGUAUAACAUUCUGACCACCUGACUAAUACUGUGUUGGUCCCUUUAUGCUGCUAAAACUCCUCUGACCCAGUGGUUCAUCAGAACCUCUGGAGAUGUCCUGUGGAUUCUGUGGAUCCUGUGGGUUGCAGGGUGGGUCCUACCUAGACCAGGCUGAUCCUGGACCAUCCCACAGAUGCUCAAUCAGAUCUGGAUGUGGGGAGUGUGGAACCCAGAUGUUCAGAGGGAGAUGAUGCCACAUCUGGUCCAGCCGAUGGAAGGUCUUGAAGUUCUCUGACUGGCCUCGACUGAAGAUGGUCGUCUCACUGGAUUUAAGGUUCAGAUGCUCAGUAACAAACUCCACCAAUGUGGCAACAGGGAAGCUUUAGGUUAAUUAAAUGUUGCUAUGAAGGUUUCGCUGUUUUUCUUUGUGAAUGCAAUGUGCUCCAACUGAAACUUGAAUUAGAACUUCGAAGUAAAUCCUUCCAUCUGAAAGGAUUUAGUUGCAUUAAUAACCUCAUAACAUUCUAAUUUUUAUUCCAGUGUUGGUUGGAAAUAGAAUCUCUGUAUUGAUUCAGAUAAAAACUGAACUUCACAGCAUGUUGAAGCAAAACGACUAGAUGAAAACUGUGAUGGUGUUGGAUUGUCAGACUGUAAUGUUGCAGCUCAAAGCAGCUUUUCUAGCUCAGUUCAUUCUGACAUUCAGCUAUGAAUCAACACAGCAGAUGGUGAUCCAUGCUGUGGAAGUCUCACAUCUCCUGAUUUAAUGGAGCUGCUUUGCACUUUUUACACUGUUUAUUCACCAACACUUUAUUUAAUAAAAGUCCCAUCUAGUUUUUAUGAGGAAUGUGAUGUUUUAAUUUCUCUGUGAAUAACUGCAGUCUAAUGCAACAGCUGGAGUUGUAACAUCUGUCCUGAUAUUGAUCAUGAAGUAUUGAUCAGAAUACUUAUGGUCAGCAGUCAUCCCUGAAGUUUUACAUUAAAAUCUUUACUUGUGUUGUGAACUUUGGUAAGAAGCAGAAAUGUUAGCGUUGCCAUGGAUACAUGAGUGUUAAAUUCUGUCCAUGUUUCCAUUUUGGGAAAUUCAGUCCAGUUCCAGAAUGUGGAGGAAUUUAGUCUCACAAUCACAGACAACAAAUAUUCGGGUUAUUGUUGUUUAUCAGCACAAUACAAAAAGAUUAAUGUUAGAAAUAUUCCAGUUAAGACUCUAGAAUAUCAUGAUUUAUAUAAAUUCACCUCAAUAAUAUGAAUGUUCAGGUUAAGAUUGUACAGUGAUAUUUAUUAUGUAAGUUUAGCUGAUUAAAGUUUAUGACUGCACUAAAAUAUUAUUUAAAUUGACAUCAUUAUUAUAAUAUUUAGGGUCAGACCCUACAGUAUUGAGAUUAAGAAAUCAAAUAUUCUAUAAAAUGUAAAUACACUGAACUCAUUUGGAUCUAUUUAAGUGAGACUCUACAAUAUUAUUUGACACAAAUCUAUCUAAAUCAAAAUUUUAAUAAUUUUCAUGCCAAACAUUUACUGGACUGAUUUAAAUAUUAAAAUCACUCCUUUCUAAUCCUCUGCUGUACGUUCAAACCUGAGGCCUUAAAUAGAAACACACAAGUAUCUGUUUGAAGGAACUUCUGCAGAGUCCUGGUUCCAGAACAUGAUGAUAGAAUUAUAGACAAACUUUAACAAAAGCUGCCUGAGAGUUUACAGGUUUUUAUGUUGGAUUUCUUCAAUAAUUUAAUGAGUUAUCAGCAAUAAUCAAGUGUUCAUUUGAUGAACUUCAUUUCCUAAAACAUCCAGAAUUGGAGCUCAUAUCUUUGGCAGCUGUAAAGUUUCUGCUCCUUCAAAGUUCACAACACAAUGAAUUAAUUCCUAAAACGCUCUCAAUGCUGGAGAGCGUUUGUGAUGCUGAAGCAGUGAUCAGUUUUUCUGUUUCUUCUCUGGAGAUGCACAAUGAGGGACGUCUGCAGAGACUGAGAAAGAGUCUCACCACAUCCUGACAUGAGGAAAAAGACUUUAUUGAAGACUACAAUGAGAAAAACUAUCAGACAGCAGACGGCUGCAUUCAAGAGAGGAAGACCAUCAAACAUCCACGUCAGCUGAUGGAGGUCCAAGAGUCUCACCGAACAACCAACCUACAGAGUGAAGACCUCAAAUCUGAUUGGACGGCCUCCUAUUCAGCCACAUGUGUCAACAAAUGCCUCU